GGGUUGUGAGGUUAAGCGACUAAGCGUACACGGUGGAUGCCCUGGCAGGUCAGAGGCGAUGAAGGACGUGCUAAUCUGCGAUAAGCGUCGGUAAGGUGAUAUGAACCGUUAUAACCGGCGAUUUCCGAAUGGGGAAACCCAGUGUGUUUCGACACACUAUCAUUAACUGAAUCCAUAGGUUAAUGAGGCGAACCGGGGGAACUGAAACAUCUAAGUACCCCGAGGAAAAGAAAUCAACCGAGAUUCCCCCAGUAGCGGCGAGCGAACGGGGAGGAGCCCAGAGCCUGAAUCAGUGUGUGUGUUAGUGGAAGCGUCUGGAAAGGCGCGCGAUACAGGGUGACAGCCCCGUACACAAAAAUGCACAUGCUGUGAGCUCGAUGAGUAGGGCGGGACACGUGGUAUCCUGUCUGAAUAUGGGGGGACCAUCCUCCAAGGCUAAAUACUCCUGACUGACCGAUAGUGAACCAGUACCGUGAGGGAAAGGCGAAAAGAACCCCGGCGAGGGGAGUGAAAAAGAACCUGAAACCGUGUACGUACAAGCAGUGGGAGCACGCUUAGGCGUGUGACUGCGUACCUUUUGUAUAAUGGGUCAGCGACUUAUAUUCUGUAGCAAGGUUAACCGAAUAGGGGAGCCGAAGGGAAACCGAGUCUUAACUGGGCGUUAAGUUGCAGGGUAUAGACCCGAAACCCGGUGAUCUAGCCAUGGGCAGGUUGAAGGUUGGGUAACACUAACUGGAGGACCGAACCGACUAAUGUUGAAAAAUUAGCGGAUGACUUGUGGCUGGGGGUGAAAGGCCAAUCAAACCGGGAGAUAGCUGGUUCUCCCCGAAAGCUAUUUAGGUAGCGCCUCGUGAAUUCAUCUCCGGGGGUAGAGCACUGUUUCGGCAAGGGGGUCAUCCCGACUUACCAACCCGAUGCAAACUGCGAAUACCGGAGAAUGUUAUCACGGGAGACACACGGCGGGUGCUAACGUCCGUCGUGAAGAGGGAAACAACCCAGACCGCCAGCUAAGGUCCCAAAGUCAUGGUUAAGUGGGAAACGAUGUGGGAAGGCCCAGACAGCCAGGAUGUUGGCUUAGAAGCAGCCAUCAUUUAAAGAAAGCGUAAUAGCUCACUGGUCGAGUCGGCCUGCGCGGAAGAUGUAACGGGGCUAAACCAUGCACCGAAGCUGCGGCAGCGACGCUUAUGCGUUGUUGGGUAGGGGAGCGUUCUGUAAGCCUGUGAAGGUGUGCUGUGAGGCAUGCUGGAGGUAUCAGAAGUGCGAAUGCUGACAUAAGUAACGAUAAAGCGGGUGAAAAGCCCGCUCGCCGGAAGACCAAGGGUUCCUGUCCAACGUUAAUCGGGGCAGGGUGAGUCGACCCCUAAGGCGAGGCCGAAAGGCGUAGUCGAUGGGAAACAGGUUAAUAUUCCUGUACUUGGUGUUACUGCGAAGGGGGGACGGAGAAGGCUAUGUUGGCCGGGCGACGGUUGUCCCGGUUUAAGCGUGUAGGCUGGUUUUCCAGGCAAAUCCGGAAAAUCAAGGCUGAGGCGUGAUGACGAGGCACUACGGUGCUGAAGCAACAAAUGCCCUGCUUCCAGGAAAAGCCUCUAAGCAUCAGGUAACAUCAAAUCGUACCCCAAACCGACACAGGUGGUCAGGUAGAGAAUACCAAGGCGCUUGAGAGAACUCGGGUGAAGGAACUAGGCAAAAUGGUGCCGUAACUUCGGGAGAAGGCACGCUGAUAUGUAGGUGAAGUCCCUCGCGGAUGGAGCUGAAAUCAGUCGAAGAUACCAGCUGGCUGCAACUGUUUAUUAAAAACACAGCACUGUGCAAACACGAAAGUGGACGUAUACGGUGUGACGCCUGCCCGGUGCCGGAAGGUUAAUUGAUGGGGUCAGCGCAAGCGAAGCUCUUGAUCGAAGCCCCGGUAAACGGCGGCCGUAACUAUAACGGUCCUAAGGUAGCGAAAUUCCUUGUCGGGUAAGUUCCGACCUGCACGAAUGGCGUAAUGAUGGCCAGGCUGUCUCCACCCGAGACUCAGUGAAAUUGAACUCGCUGUGAAGAUGCAGUGUACCCGCGGCAAGACGGAAAGACCCCGUGAACCUUUACUAUAGCUUGACACUGAACAUUGAGCCUUGAUGUGUAGGAUAGGUGGGAGGCUUAGAAGUGUGGACGCCAGUCUGCAUGGAGCCGACCUUGAAAUACCACCCUUUAAUGUUUGAUGUUCUAACGUUGACCCGUAAUCCGGGUUGCGGACAGUGUCUGGUGGGUAGUUUGACUGGGGCGGUCUCCUCCUAAAGAGUAACGGAGGAGCACGAAGGUUGGCUAAUCCUGGUCGGACAUCAGGAGGUUAGUGCAAUGGCAUAAGCCAGCUUGACUGCGAGCGUGACGGCGCGAGCAGGUGCGAAAGCAGGUCAUAGUGAUCCGGUGGUUCUGAAUGGAAGGGCCAUCGCUCAACGGAUAAAAGGUACUCCGGGGAUAACAGGCUGAUACCGCCCAAGAGUUCAUAUCGACGGCGGUGUUUGGCACCUCGAUGUCGGCUCAUCACAUCCUGGGGCUGAAGUAGGUCCCAAGGGUAUGGCUGUUCGCCAUUUAAAGUGGUACGCGAGCUGGGUUUAGAACGUCGUGAGACAGUUCGGUCCCUAUCUGCCGUGGGCGCUGGAGAACUGAGGGGGGCUGCUCCUAGUACGAGAGGACCGGAGUGGACGCAUCACUGGUGUUCGGGUUGUCAUGCCAAUGGCACUGCCCGGUAGCUAAAUGCGGAAGAGAUAAGUGCUGAAAGCAUCUAAGCACGAAACUUGCCCCGAGAUGAGUUCUCCCUGACCCUUUAAGGGUCCUGAAGGAACGUUGAAGACGACGACGUUGAUAGGCCGGGUGUGUAAGCGCAGCGAUGCGUUGAGCUAACCGGUACUAAUGAACCGUGAGGCUUAACCUUACAACGCCGAAGGUGUUU
rnacentral:rRNA from 1 species